rnacentral:misc_RNA from 1 species
CUCUCUCUCUCUCUCUCUCUCUGUUCUUUAACGAAAUGAAACAUCAGAGUUCGCUAAUCCAAUUUCUGUUCUAGCUAUCCCAGCUGAAGAGUAUGUUAUUCUGGAUUGAAAUUAAGGAACCUCUGUAACUUAGCAGGGCUGCUGCCAUUAAAACAUGAGUGGAUAUGCAUCAGGUAGUGCUUCCCAGGAUGGUCGUGAUGAAGGUAAGUUGGCUGCUUAACACAGUUAUGCAUUCUUAUGUUGUGUGAAUAACUUGUCUAUUUGAUUGUAUAUUGAUAUAUAAGUGGAUGGUUAUGAGGCUUUGGGCCAGGUGAACAUUGUCACAGUCCUAUUAAUGUGAAUGAGUUUGGGUUUAAACAUUUCAAAUGUCUCAUAGAUUUAUGUGUUAUAUUUUAAGGGAUAGGAAUGGUUUUGUUGUUCCAGACUUCCAGCCCUGGAGUGGAGGUGAUAGAGUAAAGAACUUAAAUGAAGAAUAAAACAAAAAUAGAAUAGGAAUACAACACAAUCCUAUUACAAUAACCAGAAAAAUAACCAAGGAAUACACUCUCAGUCCCAGUAAAAGCUGAAUCACAUAACAAAAUACUCAAGCAUGUCUUCCUAGCUCUCUAGGUUAGUUAUUUAUAGAUUCUCCAACACAUGUAACAGCACCCAUUCUGUUAUCCAGAUCAGCAAUAUUCCCUUUCUAGAAUUCUCUACUGGCCCAUCAGAUACAACUUCCUUGAAUCUCCUU